rnacentral:lncRNA from 1 species
CUCUGGAACAUUCUCUACAACAACAGUGAUUAAAUUAAGAUAACAGAUUUGUACCAGCAAGGCUACCUCAGGCCAGGCUGUCUGAAAGUCAGUGAAGCCAUUAUCAAAACCAAGAGUUCAUGCGUCAACAUCACAUCACAGUCCCCCUCACUCCUCUAAUCUCCUCAAACCCUGACCUAGAUGAUGAAUGCGAAAGCUCAUGCACUGGGUUUAGUGCCCGAUGUUAGUGUGAGCCGCCAGGGACACAUAAAUAUGUUGACUGAUAUCUUCCUCCUUGAUGAAAACCAGGCGGGAGGAUGGAAGAAGCUGAGUAGAGAAAUGUUUGUCCUCCUUUAAUCAUGUGGUGGUUUGGCCCGUGCCCUGCUCUGACCAUCAGGAGUACUUCCUCUGUCUCCAACCUGCAGCCAGGAAGUCCUCCAACAGUAAGUUGAGAGUCUGUUUUGACACAAUGGGCACCAUCAUCAGUGUGGAGGGAAUCUCAUCACCCAGAACCAAAUCUAACAAAAGCUAAUUCCAACCAAUGUCUUGUUGUUGUUGUUGUUGUUGUUGUUGUUGUUGUUAGAUAGAGGGGAUAGAGGGGAUACAGGCCAGGCCAGAGGUGGAUAGAGGGGAUACAGGCCAGGUCAGAGGUGGAUAGGGGGGAUACAGGCCAGGACAGAGGAGGAUAGAGGGGGAUACAGGCCAGGGCAGAGGAUAGAGGGGGAUACAGGCCAGGACAGAGGAGGAUAGAGGGGAUACAGGCCAGGACAGAGGAGGAUGGAGGGGGAUACAGGCCAGGACAGAGGUGGAUAGAGGGGAUACAGGCCAGGACAGUGGUGAAUAGAGGGGGAUACAGGCCAAGACAGAGGUGGAUAGAGGGGAUACAGGCCAGGACAGAGGAGGAUGGAGGGGGAUACAGGCCAGGACAGAGGAGGAUAGAGCGGAUACAAGCCAGAACAGAGGUGGAUAGAGGGGAUACAGGCCAGGACAGAGGUGAAUAGAGGGGGAUACAGGCCAAGACAGAGGUGGAUAGAGGGGAUACAGGCCAGGACAGAGGAGGAUGGAGGGGGAUACAGGCCAGGACAGAGGAGGAUAGAGCGGAUACAAGCCAGAACAGAGGUGGAUAGAGGGGAUACAGUCCAGGACAGAGGUGGAUAGAGGGGAUACAGGGUGAUACAGGCCAGGUCAGAGGUGGAUAGAGGGGAUGCAGGCCAGGACAGAGGUGGAUAGAGGGGAUACAGGCCAGGUCAGAGGUGGAUAGAGGGGAUACAGGCCAGGACAGAGGUGGAUAGAGGGGAUACAGGCCAGGUCAGAGGUGGAUAGAGGGGAUAGAGUCCAGGACAGAGGAGGAUAGAGGGGAUACAGGCCAGGACAAAGGAAGCUAGAGGUGAUACAGGCCAGGUCAGAGGUGGAUAGAGGGGAUACAGGCCAGGCCAGAGGUGGAUAGAGGGGAUACAGGCCAGGACAGAGGAGGAUGGAGGGGGAUACAGGCCAGGACAGAGGAGGAUAGAGGGGAUACAGGCCAGGACAGAGGUGGAUAGAGGGGAUACAGGCCAUGACAGAGAAGGAUUAAGGGGACACAGGCCAGGACAGAGGAGGAUAGAGGUGCUACAGGCCAGGACAGAGGAGGAUACAGGGGAUACAGGCCAGGACAGAGGAGGAUAGAGCAGAUACAGGCCAGGACAGAGGAGGAUAGAGGGGAUACGGGCAGGAGUCAACCAUUUAUGGUUUUUCUUGAACUAUCAGACUACGGGCCCCAUUCUAGGAAAACUGGUUACCAGGUUUCCAAGACACGUAGGACAGAGCCUUUAGGUUCUAGAAACAUUAACUAAAAUGAAUAGAGCUUUUAUGGCAUCACACACAGCAACACUAGGACAAAGUUAGGCUUUUUCAGUCACAACAGACGUG